CUUUCUCUUACUUUUAUGUGAACCUAAAAUUGCUCUUUAAAAUUUAAGUUAAAAAAAAAAGAAAUGAAACAUGGUCCCUGCCAUCUGAGCAACAAUUUAAGGUUCACAAAAACAUUUUUCAGACUUAAGCUACUUUGAAUAUCAUAUCAUCUUCACUUAGGAGAUGAGGAAAUUCGGGUUCAGAAAGUUUAUGUGACUUACCUCGAGUCAUACAGCCAGUGUUGGGAGCAGAGAGCACGUGGAAAAUUCUUGCCUGCUUUUCAACAUCCACCCAAGAAGUAAUCAUUGGGCAAAACUGACCACCAGGCCUCAUCUCACUGCAAGGGGGCUGAAGAAUGACAGAAGACAAAGCUCCAGCUGGCAGAGAAAGAUGAAUGUGAGAGAAGGAAAAGUUUUAUCUAAGCCUGGAACCCAAGAAGAGAACCUCUGCCUGCCCAAAUCAGAUCAACACAAAUCUAUAUUUUCAAAAAACCUAAAGCAAGGAAAAUGUUAGCUUUAUAAACUCCACUUUGGAAAAGUUUUAGAACAGACCUUAUUAUAGAGUUCCACUAAGGCACCUGGUAUGGUAUUUCAUAUGGAAUUUGAUUCACAGAACUUUUAAUUUCAUCAGUAAAAUGUUAUUAACAACUCCCAUCUUGUAAGGCAUCAAAAGUUUUUAAAACAUGGUGUCCAAUCAAAAUUACAUCUGUCUGUAGGUUCCUUAAGGUUCUCCAAAUCACUAGGAAUACAGAGGCCCCUGUCUGUUCAAAUCAGGAAAAUGUGAGACCCUUUUCAUAAAGGAGAAACUGACAUUAGAGUAAGAAUUGGAGCCCAGACCUGGGAAGUUGUCAACCCUCUCUAUGGCCAAGAGGAAGAAGUGUGUGGGACCUGGUCAGUUACAGAACUUUUUCAGUUCUGAAUCUCACAUCCUUUCUUCAGUAGGCAUCCAUAGAAGGGAAUUGCUUCUGUGAGCGAGAGGCCAGGGUUCAUUCAAGGAGCAAACUCUCUUCCUCUUUUAUCUUGUCCAGGGAUGCCCAAAGGACCUGCCCUCUGCUGAUAUCUACAAAAGAUGAUAUUUUCAAAAUGUCCAAGAGUCUCUGAUCUGUGUGUUCAGCAGGAUAACCAAGCUACUGCCUAUCAGAGCAGGGGGCCUAACACCCCUUCCAUUACUGGUUGGCUCUGAUUAUCUUGAGGCUGCCAUGCUUUGAAGAAGUCAAACCACAUAGAGAAAUCAUCAGUGUUGGCCCCAGUGCCAAAGGUGUGAGUGAGGAGCCUUCAGACAACUCCAGCCCCCAUCCCCUGCCUGGGAGCCCACUCAGCUGGAGCACCAGACAGCAUGUGCAGGCCCUCCCUGCCAUGCCUUUUCUACUCCCACCCUACAGAAUCUGGGAGCACUGGACGUGG
rnacentral:lncRNA from 1 species